rnacentral:rRNA from 5 species
GCCAUGCAUGUCUAAGUAUAAGCAACUAUACUGUGAAACUGCGAAUGGCUCAUUAAAUCAGUUAUCGUUUAUUUGAUAGUACCUUUACCUGGAUAACCGUGGUAAUUCUAGAGCUAAUACAUGCUAAAAACCUCGACUUCGGAAGGGGUGUAUUUAUUAGAUAAAAAACCAAUGCCCUUCGGGGCUCCUUGGUGAAUCAUAAUAACUUAACGAAUCGCAUGGCCUUGCGCCGGCGAUGGUUCAUUCAAAUUUCUGCCCUAUCAACUUUCGAUGGUAAGAUAGAGGCUUACCAUGGUCUUAACGGGUAACGGGGAAUUAGGGUUCUAUUCCGGAGAGGGAGCCUGAGAAACGGCUACCACAUCCAAGGAAGGCAGCAGGCGCGCAAAUUACCCAAUCCCGACACGGGGAGGUAGUGACAAUAAAUACUGAUACGGGGCUCUUUUGGGUCUCGUAAUUGGAAUGAGUACAAUCUAAAUCCCUUAACGAGGAACAAUUGGAGGGCAAGUCUGGUGCCAGCAGCCGCGGUAAUUCCAGCUCCAAUAGCGUAUAUUAAAGUUGUUGCCGUUAAAAAGCUCGUAGUUGAACCUUGGGCCUGGCUGACCUGUCCUCCUAAUCGAGCGCACGGGUUCGGUCGGGCCUUUCCUUCUAGGGAACCCCAUGCCCUUCACUGGGUGUGGUGGGGAACUAGGAC